GGUUAAGCGACUAAGCGUACACGGUGGAUGCCCUGGCAGUCAGAGGCGAUGAAGGACGUGCUAAUCUGCGAUAAGCGUCGGUAAGGUGAUAUGAACCGUUAUAACCGGCGAUUUCCGAAUGGGGAAACCCAGUGUGUUUCGACACACUAUCAUUAACUGAAUCCAUAGGUUAAUGAGGCGAACCGGGGGAACUGAAACAUCUAAGUACCCCGAGGAAAAGAAAUCAACCGAGAUUCCCCCAGUAGCGGCGAGCGAACGGGGAGCAGCCCAGAGCCUGAAUCAGUGUGUGUGUUAGUGGAAGCGUCUGGAAAGGCGCGCGAUACAGGGUGACAGCCCCGUACACAAAAAUGCACAUGCUGUGAGCUCGAUGAGUAGGGCGGGACACGUGGUAUCCUGUCUGAAUAUGGGGGGACCAUCCUCCAAGGCUAAAUACUCCUGACUGACCGAUAGUGAACCAGUACCGUGAGGGAAAGGCGAAAAGAACCCCGGCGAGGGGAGUGAAAAAGAACCUGAAACCGUGUACGUACAAGCAGUGGGAGCACGCUUCGGCGUGUGACUGCGUACCUUUUGUAUAAUGGGUCAGCGACUUAUAUUCUGUAGCAAGGUUAACCGAAUAGGGGAGCCGAAGGGAAACCGAGUCUUAACUGGGCGUUAAGUUGCAGGGUAUAGACCCGAAACCCGGUGAUCUAGCCAUGGGCAGGUUGAAGGUUGGGUAACACUAACUGGAGGACCGAACCGACUAAUGUUGAAAAAUUAGCGGAUGACUUGUGGCUGGGGGUGAAAGGCCAAUCAAACCGGGAGAUAGCUGGUUCUCCCCGAAAGCUAUUUAGGUAGCGCCUCGUGAAUUCAUCUCCGGGGGUAGAGCACUGUUUCGGCAAGGGGGUCAUCCCGACUUACCAACCCGAUGCAAACUGCGAAUACCGGAGAAUGUUAUCACGGGAGACACACGGCGGGUGCUAACGUCCGUCGUGAAGAGGGAAACAACCCAGACCGCCAGCUAAGGUCCCAAAGUCAUGGUUAAGUGGGAAACGAUGUGGGAAGGCCCAGACAGCCAGGAUGUUGGCUUAGAAGCAGCCAUCAUUUAAAGAAAGCGUAAUAGCUCACUGGUCGAGUCGGCCUGCGCGGAAGAUGUAACGGGGCUAAACCAUGCACCGAAGCUGCGGCAGCGACGCUUAUGCGUUGUUGGGUAGGGGAGCGUUCUGUAAGCCUGUGAAGGUGUGCUGUGAGGCAUGCUGGAGGUAUCAGAAGUGCGAAUGCUGACAUAAGUAACGAUAAAGCGGGUGAAAAGCCCGCUCGCCGGAAGACCAAGGGUUCCUGUCCAACGUUAAUCGGGGCAGGGUGAGUCGACCCCUAAGGCGAGGCCGAAAGGCGUAGUCGAUGGGAAACAGGUUAAUAUUCCUGUACUUGGUGUUACUGCGAAGGGGGGACGGAGAAGGCUAUGUUGGCCGGGCGACGGUUGUCCCGGUUUAAGCGUGUAGGCUGGUUUUCCAGGCAAAUCCGGAAAAUCAAGGCUGAGGCGUGAUGACGAGGCACUACGGUGCUGAAGCAACAAAUGCCCUGCUUCCAGGAAAAGCCUCUAAGCAUCAGGUAACAUCAAAUCGUACCCCAAACCGACACAGGUGGUCAGGUAGAGAAUACCAAGGCGCUUGAGAGAACUCGGGUGAAGGAACUAGGCAAAAUGGUGCCGUAACUUCGGGAGAAGGCACGCUGAUAUGUAGGUGAAG
rnacentral:rRNA from 1 species